rnacentral:misc_RNA from 1 species
GUGAAGAACGCAGCAAAAUGCGAUAAGUAAUGUGAAUUGCAGAAUUCAGUGAAUCAUCGAAUCUUUGAACGCACAUUGCGCCCGCCAGUAUUCUGGCGGGCAUGCCUGUUCGAGCGUCAUUUCAACCCUCAAGCACAGCUUGGUGUUGGGACUCGCGUUAAUUCGCGUUCCCCAAAUUGAUUGGCGGUCACGUCGAGCUUCCAUAGCGUAGUAGUAAAACCCUCGUUACUGGUAAUCGUCGCGGCCACGCCGUUAAACCCCAACUUCUGAAUGUUGACCUCGGAUCAGGUAGGAAUACCCGCUGAACUUAAGCAUAUCAAUAAGCGGAGGA